rnacentral:tRNA from 1 species
GAGAGAGGUCUGCUAACAACGAAAACUGCUAAUUUCCGUCACCUUGGUUGGAUCCCAAGGCUCACUCG